rnacentral:rRNA from 1 species
UACGUAGGGGGCAAGCGUUGUCCGGAAUCAUUGGGCGUAAAGCGCGUGUAGGCGGCCAGAAAAGUCCGCUGUGAAAACUCGAGGCUCAACUUCGAGCUGUCGGUGGAAACUUUCUGGCUAGAGUCCGGAAGAGGAGAAUGGAAUUCCUGGUGUAGCGGUGAAAUGCGCAGAUAUCAGGAGGAACACCGGUGGCGAAGGCGGGUCUCUGGGCCGAUACUGACGCUGAGGAGCGAAAGCGUGGGGAGCGAACAGG